UCUCCGUUGGUGAACCAGCGGAGGGAUCAUUACAGAGUUGCGAAACUCCCUAAACCAUUUGUGAACCUACCCCCAAAACAGUUGCUUCGGCGGCGCCCUAGCCGGCCCGCCGGAGACCGCCAAACGCUUUGUUUUAUAGCGAAGUCUUCUCUCUGAGUAAUACAAGCAAAUAAAUUAAAACUUUCAACAACGGAUCUCUUGGUUCUG
rnacentral:misc_RNA from 1 species